CUGUAUAGACCUGAAAGACAGGCAGCAAACUUUGCUUUAGAUAUGCAGCUAACUCCAAAGGGAGGAUUCUUUGGAGGAGAAUCAGAGACUGAGUGUUUCCUGAGGCCAGGCCAAAAACAAAGAGAAAGGAAAACAAGAAUGUAUUCCUGGAGGCCAAGGAGAAUCCUUCAGCUUUGUGCGUCUGGCCUUGAGGGCUCAAUGCUGCUGGUAGCAGCUGAGGUUACUCCAGCAAUGGUUGCAGUGAAUGUCAUGUUUGCAAUGGAGAUUCUUCCCUUACUUGAAGGCAGCAAAGAGGAUGUCACUGGAUAGGAAGAAACAACAAAAGGAAUUCCCACCAACCUGCAAGCUGGUAGGAAGAUUUUUAGAGAUCAUUGGAAUUCAAGGGCAAGUGUA
rnacentral:lncRNA from 1 species